GGUACAAUGUUGUUUUGAGCAACUGUUCCGUGGGCGAGUUCUGUACUAUCCAUAAUGGCGCUUGCAUCGGUCAAGAUGGUUUUGGUUUCUUUGUGGAUGAGGAUGGGCAGGUCAAGAAGAAGCCACAGGUACUUUAUUCAAGGAUCGGUGACAAUGUGGAGAUAGGUGCAAAUACAUGCAUUGACAGAGGAAGG